AGGUGAGAGGCCACUGGUUAGUAUGUCAUGUUACAGAUUGCCCUGUAGCAGGUGAGAGGCCCCUGGCUAGUACGUCAUGUUACAGAUUGCCCUGUAGCAGGUGAGAGGCCCCUAGCUAGUACGUCAUGUUACAGAUUGCCCUGUAGCAGGUGAGAGGCCCCUAGCUAGUACGU